UACGAGGGGGGCGAGCGUUGUUCGGAAUUAUUGGGCGUAAAGGGUGCGUAGGCGGUUCCGCAAGUCCUGUGUGAAAUCUUCGGGCUCAACUCGAAGUCUGCACGGGAAACUGCGGGGCUUGAGUGUGGGAGAGGAUAGCGGAAUUCCUGGUGUAGCGGUGAAAUGCGUAGAUAUCAGGAGGAACACCUGCGGUGUAGACGGCUAUCUGGACGGUUACUGACGCUGAGACACGAAAGCGUGGGUAGCAAACAGG
rnacentral:rRNA from 1 species